CUGUAAGGGGGAAUGUGUCGUUGUUUGAGGUGGGACUCACUUCAGUGUAACACCAAACAAUGGACAUGAGAAGCGGCCUUCGUUCAUGUUGAAACAAAGUUAUGAAGAGAAAACAGCAAAAACAGGUGACCUCAGCUGGCGUGACGGUGAGCGGCGUGUCACAGGUGCCCAGAGGAUGGCAGCUCACAGGACGGCCAGCCUCGGGCGGAGACUCCAGUGCCAGACACAGCAGGUCCAGAAAAGGAUAUCCUGCCCAAGCGGAAAUGUAUCGUCUUUAUCGUACAUAAUGGAAAAAAAUGGUUGGGUUGGACCAAAAAGUUGUUUCAUUUUAAAGAUGAUUGGCAGUGAAGAACUUGCGUCAAUCAGCCUGUAGACGGCUUUCCGUCCUGGGACCGUGCUCUUCUCCGGAUCCUCGCUGAUCUUCAUCCUUGGCUUGCCUUGUACCUCCACGAGCUUCCACACAAAACACAACGUAAACCCCACAGGACCACAACCACUCAGGGUGUUUUUGUUUUUAAACCACCUUGUACACACAACCCAGCGAGGGCUGUUUGGUGCAGGUGACCAGAUGCGUUCCAACACCGACCACGUCGAUUUCGUUCUCCUGAGGGAUGAGCACGUGAGGAGCUAGGACGGAUACAAGGGAAGAAGAUCGAAACGUUUGUCACCUUGGUGUUGAGUUCCACCAUGGUUUGCUCUGAGAUGUUGUUGCUCCCAACAAUGGUCAGCGAGUCGAAGGCCGAGAUGGAGAAGCUAGAAAACGUAAAGAUUUGAUAAUAAUAACAUCUACUGUAGUUCUAUCAGUUGUGGGGGGAGACAUGAGCACGCUGGCACCUCACUCACUGCUCAC